rnacentral:rRNA from 1 species
UACAGAGGGUGCGAGCGUUAAUCGGAAUUACUGGGCGUAAAGCGCACGUAGGUGGCGACGUAAGUCGGGUGUGAAAGCCCCGGGCUCAACCUGGGAAUUGCAUUCGAGACUGCAUUGCUGGAGUACGGAAGAGGAAGGCGGAAUUCCCGGUGUAGCGGUGAAAUGCGUAGAUAUCGGGAAGAACACCAGUGGCGAAGGCGGCUAACUGGUCCAGUACUGACGCUGAGGUGCGAAAGCGUGGGGAGCAAACAGG